rnacentral:rRNA from 1 species
UUAGUGGCGUAAGGGUGAGGAAUGAAUAGGUAACGUACCCCGAACUUCGGAAUAGCGUCAGAAUGCUUCGGCAUUCAUCCGAAAGGGGCGGUAAUACCGGAUAAUAUCACUUGUCUCAAGGCAGGUGAUCAAAGAUUUAUCGGUUUGGGAGCGGCCUAUUUCCUAUCAGUUUGUUGGUGAGGUAACGGCUCACCAAGGCAGCGACGGGUAGCGGGACUGAGAGGUUGACCCGCCACAUCGGGACUGAGACACUGCCCGGACCUCCACGGAGGGCUGCAGUAACGAAUAUUGUGCAAUGGGCGAAAGCCUGACACAGCAACGCCGCGUGUAGGAUGAAGCCUUUCGGGGUGUAAACUACUGUCAGGGGUCAGAAAGUGCGCUUCGGCGCAUUGAUCAGCCCCAGAGGAAGUCACGGCUAACUUCGUGCCAGCAGCCGCGGUAAUACGAAGGUGGCGAGCGUUGUUCGGAAUCACUGGGCUUAAAGCGCGCGUAGGCGGAAAUGCAGGUGUCGUGUGAAAUCCCCCGGCUUAACCGGGGAAUUGCGCGGCAAACGGUAUUUCUUGAGGCAAGCAGGGGUGUGUGGAACUCUUGGUGGAGCGGUGGAAUGCGUAGAUAUCAAGAGGAACGCCAAUGGUGAAGACAGCACACUGGGCUUGUCCUGACGCUGAGGUGCGAAAGCGUGGGGAGCGAACGGGAUUAGAUACCCCGGUAGUCCACGCCGU